ACGCAGCUUCACAGUUAAGGGCAGGCUGGGCCUCUCCUGUCCCACGAGACAGUUCUUAAACAUGAGCAUCACCUGCUUAAGAAGCCUAACUCUGAAGAUUCACCAAAGCAGCUUAAUGGCUCAGGGUACUUUAGGUAGUUUUAUGGUACACAGAGUGGGCAAAGUAGCACUACUUAGAUCUCAUUUCCUCUCGAUGCAUCCAGCAGGAGGGCUACCACUUACUGGACCCUAAGCAAUUGAGAGCAGAAACAGACAAGAACCUGUCCUGCAGCUUGCAAGUCCCUGCCACCUACACACCAAAAUGUAACAGUGGUGGUCUUUCAGCAAUGAUUUUUCUACACGUGAUUUUUUUUCCUUCCUUUUCCUGU
rnacentral:lncRNA from 1 species